UAAUUGAAGAGUUUGAUCAUGGCUCAGAUUGAACGCUGGCGGCAGGCCUAACACAUGCAAGUCGAGCGGCAGCGACAUCAACAAUCCUUCGGGUGCGUUGAUGGGCGGCGAGCGGCGGACGGGUGAGUAAUGCCUGGGAACAUGCCUUAGUGUGGGGG
rfam:Photobacterium halotolerans strain MELD1 scaffold17, whole genome shotgun sequence.